rnacentral:rRNA from 1 species
GGGAGCAGCAGUGGGGAACUUGACAUGGGGGCAACCCUGAUCCAGCCAUGCCGCGUGAGUGAUGAAGGCCUUAGGGUUGUAAAGCUCUUUCGCCUGUGAUGAUAAUGACAGUAGCAGGUAAGAACCCCGGCUAACUCCGUGCCAGCAGCCGCGUAAU